rnacentral:rRNA from 1 species
CAAUAGCGUAUAUUUAAGUUGUUGCAGUUAAAAAGCUCGUAGUUGGAUUUCGGAUGGGACUUGCCGGUCCGUCGUUUCGAUGUGCACUGGCCAGUCCUAUCUUGUUGUCGGGGACUAACUCCUGGGCUUCACUGUCCGGGACUAGGAGCUGACGAGGUUACUUUGAGUAAAUUAGAGUGUUCAAAGCAAGCCUACGCUCUGAAUACAUUAGCAUGGAAUAACACGAUAGGACUCUGGCUUAUCUUGUUGGUCUGUGAGACCAGAGUAAUGAUUAAGAGGGACAGUCGGGGGCAUUCGUAUUUCAUUGUCAGAGGUGAAAUUCUUGGAUUUAUGAAAGACGAACUUCUGCGAAAGCAUUUGUCAAGGAUGUUUUCAUUAA